GGCCUCCUGGUGCUUACCACAGUCUGUGUUCUUACACUGACCGUAUAGAAAGAGGAGGAAAAGUAAACCUAUCCCAUAUACACCUCAGUCCAGGCCUUGUGCCUGAUCUGUAUUGUGAAUGGGGAGACAUAG
rnacentral:snoRNA from 1 species